GACGUAGGGCGCAAGCGUUGUCCGGAUUUAUUGGGCGUAAAGGGCUCGUAGGCGGUUUGUCGCGUCGGGAGUGAAAACCAGGUGCUUAACACCUGGCUUGCUUUCGAUACGGGCAGACUAGAGGUAUGCAGGGGAGAACGGAAUUCCUGGUGUAGCGGUGAAAUGCGCAGAUAUCAGGAGGAACACCGGUGGCGAAGGCGGGUCUCUGGGCAACAACUGACGCUGAGGAGCGAAAGCGUGGGGAGCGAACAGG
rnacentral:rRNA from 1 species